GGCGUGCUUAACACAAGCAAGUCGAACGAUGAACCAGGGCUUGCCCUGGGGAUUAGUGGCGAACGGGUGAGUAACACGUGGGCAACCUGCCCCAGACACCGGGAUAACCUCUCGAAAGAGUGGCUAAUACCGGAUACGACCACUUUGGGCAUCCAACGGUGGUGGAAAGGAUUCUGGUCUGGGAUGGGCCCGCGGCAUAUCAGCUUGUUGGUGGGGUAAUGGCCUACCCAGGCGACGACGGGUAGCCGGCCUGAGAGGGCGACCGGCCACACUGGGACUGAGACACGGCCCAGACUCCUACGGGCGGCAGCAGUGGGGGAUAUUGCGCAAUGGGCGAAAGCCUGGCGCAGCGACGCCGCGUGGGGGACGAAGGUCUUCGGAUUGUAAACCUCUUUCAGCAGGGACGAAGCGAAAGUGACUGUACCUGCAGAAGAAGCACCGGCUAACUACGUGCCAGCCGCCGCCGUAA
rnacentral:rRNA from 1 species